CCUACGGGUGGCAGCAGUGAGGAAUAUUGGUCAAUGGCCGGAAUGCUGAACCAGCCAAGCCGCGUAAGGGAGGAAGGCUCAGAGCGUCGCAGACCUCUUUUGCCGGGGGACAAAAGGCCGGACUCGUCCGGUCCUGAGGGUACCCGGAGAAAAAGCAUCGGCUAACUCCGUGCCAGCAUCCGCGGUAGUACGGAGGAUGCGAGGUGUAUCCGGAUUCAUUGGGUUUAAGGGGUGCGCAGGCGGGCCUUUAAGCCGGCGGUGAAAUCGCGUGGCUCAACCCGGCCGAGCCGUCGGAACUGGGGGAUUUGAGUGCGGCGGAGGCAUGCGGAAUGCGCGGUGUAGCGGUGAAAUGCAUAGAUAUCGCGCAGAACCCCGAUUGCGAAGGCAGUGUGCCGUGCCGCCACUGACGCUGAGGCACGAAAGCGCGGGGAUCGAACAGGAUUAGAUACCCGAGUAGUC
rnacentral:rRNA from 1 species